AUUGAACGCUGGCGGCAUGCCUUACACAUGCAAGUCGAACGGUAACAGGUCUUCGGAUGCUGACGAGUGGCGAACGGGGGAGUAAUACAUCGGAACGUGCCUAGGAGUGGGGAUAACUACUCGAAAGAGUGGCUAAUACCGCAUGCGAUCUACGGAUGAAAGCAGGGGAUCGCAAGACCUUGUGCUACUAGAGCGGCCGAUGGCAGAUUAGGUAGUUGGUGGGAUAAAAGCUUACCAAGCCGACGAUCUGUAGCUGGUCUGAGAGGACGAUCAGAAACACUGGGACUGAGACACGGCCCAGACUCCUACGGGAGGCAGCAGUGGGGAAUUUUGGACAAUGGGCGCAAGCCUGAUCCAGCAAUGCCGCGUGCAGGAUGAAGGCCUUCGGGUUGUAAACUGCUUUUGUACGGAACGAAAAGCCCUGGGUUAAUACCCUGGGGUCAUGACGGUACCGUAAGAAUAAGCACCGGCUAACUACGUGCCAGCCGCCGCCGUAAUAC
rnacentral:rRNA from 1 species